rnacentral:rRNA from 1 species
GUCGAACGAAGCUCUGCGAUACAAGACUUCGGUCAAGUUGAACGGAUGACUUAGUGGCGGACGGGUGAGUAACGCGUGAGGAACCUGCCUUUCAGUGGGGGACAACAGUUGGAAACGACUGCUAAUACCGCAUAAUGUAUUCUGACCGCAUGAUCGGAAUACCAAAGAUUUAUUGCUGAAAGAUGGCCUCGCGUCUGAUUAGAUAGUUGGUGAGGUAACGGCCCACCAAGUCGACGAUCAGUAGCCGGACUGAGAGGUUGAACGGCCACAUUGGGACUGAGAUACGGCCCAGACUCCUACGGGAGGCAGCAGUGGGGAAUAUUGGGCAAUGGGGGAAACCCUGACCCAGCAACGCCGCGUGAAGGAAGAAGGCUUUCGGGUUGUAAACUUCUUUUACCAGGGACGAAGGACGUGACGGUACCUGGAGAAAAAGCCACGGCUAACUACGUGCCAGCAGCCGCGGUAAUACGUAGGUGGCAAGCGUUGUCCGGAUUUACUGGGUGUAAAGGGCGUGUAGGCGGAGAAGCAAGUCAGAAGUGAAAUCCAUGGGCUUAACCCAUGAACUGCUUUUGAAACUGUUUCCCUUGAGUAUCGGAGAGGCAGGCGGGAAU